CACCCGGAGGGAUCCCGUGGGGGGAAUCCAGCCGGGAUAGGGGAAGCGCCCCGCGCUCUGGA
rnacentral:ncRNA from 1 species